rnacentral:rRNA from 1 species
UACGUAGGGGGCGAGCGUUGUCCGGAGUUACUGGGCGUAAAGCGCUUGUAGGCGGUCCACCAAGUUUGGGGUGACAGUUGCCGACUUAAUCGGCAAAGUGCCUCAAAGACUGGCGGACUUGAGGGCCACAGAGGCACAUGGAACUCCAGGUGUAGUGGUGAAAUGCGUAGAUAUCUGGAAGAACACCAAAGGCGAAGGCAGUGUCCUGGGUGGUCGCUGACGCUGAGAGGCGAAAGCCAGGGGAGCGAACGGG